UAAGAAAUUAAGAGCUCACAAGGGAUACCUAGGCAUUUAGAAGCGAAGAAGGACGCGAUUACCAGCGAAAUACUUCGGGGAGUUGGAAAUAAGCAUUGAUCCGGAGGUCUCCGAAUGAGGAAACUCACUAUAUUAAAUACAUAAUAAAUAUUGUAUUUAAAGCGAACCUAGAGAAUUGAAACAUCUUAGUAUCUAGAGGAAAAGAAAGUAAAAACGAUUCCCUGAGUAGUGGCGAACGAAACGGGAACAGCCUAAACCUAAACAAUAUAAAAUAUUUGGAUAGGGGUUGAGGGAUUAAGCUAGUUAAAUAAAAAUAUUCAAUAAAGUUAGGCAAAUUAGUUGGAAAACUAAACCAGAGAAAGUGAUAGUCUUGUAGCCGAAAACUUUCAAUUUUGUUUAAUCCCAAGUAGCAUGGGGCACGUGAAAUCCCGUGUGAAUCUGCGAGGACCACCUCGUAAGGCUAAAUAUUCCUAAAUGACCGAUAGCGCAUAGUACCGUGAGGGAAAGGUGAAAAGCACCCCGAUGAGGGGAGUGAAACAGUACCUGAAACCGAAUGCCUACAAGCAGUUGGAGGGGUUUUAUGCCCUGACAGCGUACCUCUUGCAUAAUGGGUCAGUGACUUAAUGUAUCGAGCAAGCUUAAGCCGUUAGGUGUAGGCGCAGCGAAAGCGAGUCUGAAUAGGGCGACCGAGUAUGCAGCAUUAGACCCGAAGGCAAGUGAUCUAGGUAUGGGCAGGGUGAAGGUGCAGUAACAUGCACUGGAGGCCCGAACCGUUGAGCGUUGAAAAGCUCUCGGAUGACCUGUGCCUAGGGGUGAAAGGCCAAUCAAACUCGGAGAUAGCUGGUUCUCCGCGAAAGCUAUUUAGGUAGCGCGUCGUGUGAUUACCGCCGGGGGUAGAGCACUGGAUGGGCUAGGGGGGCGCGAGCCUUACCAAACCUAACCAAACUCCGAAUACCGGUGAGUACUGCGCGGGAGUCAGACUGCGGGUGAUAAGAUCCGUGGUCGAGAGGGAAACAACCCAGACCGCCGGCUAAGGUCCCUAAAUCGUUGCUGAGUGGGAAAGGAAGUGAGAGCGCUUAGACAACCAGGAUGUUGGCUUAGAAGCAGCCACCAUUUAAAAAGUGCGUAACAGCUUACUGGUCUAGUGAACUCGCGCCGAAAAUGUAACGGGGCUAAGCAACGUACCGAAGCCGCGGAGCCAUGAUUCCUUCGGGAUUCAUGGUUGGUAGGGGAGCGUUCCAUGGGCGUCGAAGGUCUAUCGAAAGAAGGGCUGGAGCGCAUGGAAGUGAUGAUGCGGACAUGAGUAGCGAUAAACAGGGUGAGAAACCCUGUCGCCGUAAGCCUAAGGGUUCCUGAGUCAAGCUAAUCUUCUCAGGGUUAGUCGGCCCCUAAGCCGAGGGCGAAAGCCGUAGGUGAUGGGAAUCGGGUUAAUAUUCCCGUACCACUAGAUGACCGUUCGACCGAAGGGGGGACGGAGAAGGAUAGCUCAGCCCGUUAUUGGAUUCGGGUGAACGUCAAUAGGCGGGAGGUGUAGGCAAAUCCGCACUUCCAUUCAACGCUGAGGGGCGGGACGGUGGCCUUCGGGCCCGCAAGUGAGUGAUUCCAUGCUUCCUAGAAAAGCCUCGUAGGGAGGUCAUCUGGUGACCGUACCGCAAACCAACACAGGUAGGCGGGCAGAGCAUGCCAAGGCGCUUGAGAUAACUCUGGCUAAGGAACUCGGCAAAAUGACACCGUAACUUCGGGAGAAGGUGUGCCUUUGCUGGUGACGGGACUUGCUCCCCGAGCUGGCGGAGGUUGCAGAGACCAGGGGGUAGCGACUGUUUACUAAAAACACAGGUCCGUGCUAAGUCGUAAGACGAUGUAUACGGACUGACUCCUGCCCGGUGCUGGAAGGUUAAGGGGACCUGUUAGCUCUUACGAGCGAAGCGGAGAACUUAAGCCCCAGUAAACGGCGGUGGUAACUAUAACCAUCCUAAGGUAGCGAAAUUCCUUGUCGGGUAAGUUCCGACCUGCAUGAAUGGUGUAACGACUUCUCCGCUGUCUCCAACGUAGGCCCAGUGAAAUUGAAGUACCUGUGCAGAUGCAGGUUAAUUACAGUAAGACGAAAAGACCCUGUGCACCUUUACUAUGAAUAUGCAUUGCUCCUCAUUAAUUAAUGUGUAGAAUAAGUGGGAGCUG
rnacentral:rRNA from 1 species